UAGCCAAUGGUGUGGACACUUCAUUAGCAUUGUAUUGAAAUGCUCCCACGCCUCGUAUAAGGACUCACAUUUGUAUUGUUUAAAAUUUGUGAUUUCCUACCAGAGUUG
rfam:Gossypium arboreum cultivar AKA8401 contig_21053_3, whole genome shotgun sequence.